GACGGAGGGUGCAAGCGUUAUUCGGAGUUACUGGGCGUAAAGCGUGCGCAGGCGGUUCUGUAAGUGGCUUGUGAAAGCGCCCGGCUAAACCGGGCGAGGACGGGUCAGACUGCAGGGCUGGGAUGGAACAGAGGGCUGUGGAAUUCCGGGUGUAGCGGUGAAAUGUGCAGAGAUCCGGAGGAACACCAGAGGUGAAGACGGCGGCCUGGGGUCCAAUCGACGCUGAGGCACGAAAGCGUGGGGAGCGAACGGG
rnacentral:rRNA from 1 species